CAGCAGCCGCGGGAACACGAACCGUGCGAACGUUAUUCGGAAUUACUGGGCUUAAAGCGCGUGUAGGCGGGCCGCCACGUCGGUUGCUGAAAUCCCCCGGCUCAACCGGGGAAGUGGCAUCGAUACGAGCGGCCUUGAGGGGGGUAGGGGGAUCUGGAACUUCCGGUGGAGCGGUGAAAUGCGUUGAGAUCGGAAGGAACGCCCGUGGCGAAAGCGAGGUCCUGGACCCUUUCUGACGCUGAGACGCGAAAGCCAGGGGAGCGGACGGGAUUAGAUACCCCCGUAGUCCCUGUCUCUUAUU
rnacentral:rRNA from 1 species